GACGAACGCUGGCGGCGUGCCUAAUACAUGCAAGUUGAGCGCUGAAGGUUGGUACUUGUACCAACUGGAUGAGCAGCGAACGGGUGAGUAACGCGUGGGGAAUCUGCCUUUGAGCGGGGGACAACUUUUGGAAACGAAUGCUAAUACCGCAUAAAAACUUUAAACACAAGUUUUAAGUUUGAAGGAUGCAAUUGCAUCACUCAAAGAUGAUCCCGCGUUGUAUUAGCUAGUUGGUGAGGUAAAGGCUCACCAAGGCGAUGAUACAUAGCCGACCUGAGAGGGUGAUCGGCCACAUUGGGACUGAGACACCGCCCAAACUCCUACGGGAGGCAGCAGUAGGGAAUCUUCGGCCAUGGACGAAAGUCUGACCGGGCAACGCCGCGUGAGUGAAGAAGGUUUUCGGAUCGUAAAACUCUGUUGGUAGAGAAGAACGUUGGUGAGAGUGGAAAGCUCAUCAAGUGACGGUAACUACCCAGAAAGGGACGGCUAACUACGUG
rnacentral:rRNA from 1 species